rnacentral:rRNA from 1 species
UACGGAGGGUGCAAGCGUUGUCCGGAAUCACUGGGCGUAAAGGGCGCGUAGGCGGCUCAUGGAGGCUGUGGUGAAAGUCCGGGGCUCAACCUCGGAUCGGCCGUGGCGACUCGUGGGCUGGAGCACUGUAGAGGCGGGUGGAAUUCCUGGUGUAGCGGUGAAAUGCGCAGAUAUCAGGAGGAACACCAAUGGCGAAGGCAGCUCGCUGGGACGGUACUGACGCUGAGACGCGAAAGCGUGGGGAGCAAACAGG